rnacentral:rRNA from 1 species
AGUAACGCGUGGGUAACCUGCCUCGUACAGGGGGAUAACAGUUAGAAAUGACUGCUAAUACCGCAUGAGCGCACAGUGCUGCAUGGCACAGUGCGAAAAACUCCGGUGGUAUGAGAUGGACCCGCGUCUGAUUAGCUAGUUGGUGGGGUAACGGCCUACCAAGGCGACGAUCAGUAGCCGGCCUGAGAGGGUGAACGGCCACAUUGGGACUGAGACACGGCCCAA